rnacentral:rRNA from 1 species
GAUGAACGCUGGCGGCGUGCCUAAUACAUGCAAGUAGAACGCUGAAGGAAGGAGCUUGCUCUUUCCGGAUGAGUUGCGAACGGGUGAGUAACGCGUAGGUAACCUGCCUGGUAGCGGGGGAUAACUAUUGGAAACGAUAGCUAAUACCGCAUAACAGUAGAUGUUGCAUGACAACUAUUUGAAAGGGGCAAUUGCUCCACUACCAGAUGGACCUGCGUUGUAUUAGCUAGUUGGUGAGGUAACGGCUCACCAAGGCGACGAUACAUAGCCGACCUGAGAGGGUGAUCGGCCACACUGGGACUGAGACACGGCCCAGACUCCUACGGGAGGCAGCAGUAGGGAAUCUUCGGCAAUGGACGGAAGUCUGACCGAGCAACGCCGCGGGAGUGAAGAAGGGUUUCGGAUCGUAAAGCUCUGUUGUAAGAGAAGAACGAGUGUGAGAGUGGAAAGUUCACACUGUGACGGUAUCUUACCAGAAAGGGACGGCUAACUACGUG